UAUUAGCAGGCUCUCAGUGAAAGAAUUUCUAAAGGAUGCACUACAGAAGAAGGAGAACUCAAAAAGAAGGAAGAGAAUAUAAGAAAUAAUGCUGAAAAAAAAAAAAAAAGAAUGCUGAGCAGAAAACUUGGUAAAAACAAGGUUUACGCAGUUUGCUACAGUGAUACGAAUUUAAUGUUUGGGAAGAAUCCAUUGUAAAGAUGUUCAUCUGGCAUUGAGGAGCAAUAACGUGUCUGAAAUAUUCCACAUACACAGACACACACACAUCAACCAAAGUGAACAUGGCAUGAAUAUGGCAGAUAAUCAG